CCCCAUGAAUCUAGGUGAGGACAGGCGCUCCUGCUUUCCCGCCCAAAUGUUGCAUUUUCCAAGCCUACCCUUGCCGGCCACGCCCCCAACCUGGGCCUAUAAAAACCGCCCCCCCACCCCCCGCAGGCCCUAGCCCGCAGACACACUGAAGUCGCUAGACGUCGUGAGGAACACAUCCGGGGAAGAAGACACAGGUGGCUGGUCAUCGAGAGCCCGCUGGGGGAAGAGCACACAGACAGGCACCGGCAGGCCAUUGACCAGCGGGACAAGGGGUGCUCAAUGUCAUCACAAGGGUCCUUAAGAGGGAAAGAGGAAGCCAUGAGGGUCAGAGUCAAAGGAAGACUUGAAGAUACUACACUGAGGACUUUAAAGAUGAAGGAAGGGGCGAAAACCAAGAAUGUGGGAAGCCUCUAGAAGCUAGAGAAGGCAAGGAAACAGAUUUUCCACUAGAGCCUCCAGAAGGAACACAGCCCUGCUGACCCACUGUAAUGUCUGACCUCUAGAUGUGUAAGGGUAGUAAGACUGAAAGUCUCAGAAAGGCACUGUUACAUUCUUAUUCCACAACCAUGCAACUCAAAACUGGGGUCCUCAGCAAUGAGCGAGGGGCGAGAGAAGGCACUGUAUAAACAUGGCACAUCCUCCUGGAAAGUCAACUUUACUCAAAGGUUCUUACACACAGUGACAGCUAGCAGAGUCUAAAGUGCUGACAUUAUGACUUAGAGAUGUGAUAAAGAGAAACAUCUAUUGCAUUUUCUGUAAGUAAAUGUGGUGCCGGCAUUGAGAGAACAUACGUAAUCGGAUACCUGUUCUCCCUGAGUUUCUUAAUUUAAGCCUCGCGAUUCCUAAUUAGCAGUUAGAUUGCAUCCAUUGUUAUUUUGUCUUUGGUUAUCAAUGAUGAUCAACCUUUGCUAAACAAAGAUAUGUCAUCAUGCUGGGGACACUCAUGGAUUUUUUUUUUUAAAGGUUUUUAACAUUUGAUAGUAGGUUUUCCAAUAGCUUGAAGGGUAGCUUUUAACAUUUCUUUUCCAGCUGAAGUAUUUCCUGAGUUCUGUCCAAGCCCUCUGUAGUUAAAGAAAAGGCUUUUUGACACUGAAUAGACAAUGUUGUGGCUUUUUUUUCCCUUCUUCAGACAAAUGUAUAGGCAUUUAGACUGCCACGUUGUACUCUCGUAAUUGAGACACCUUGCAGAAAUGGCAAUUAUAGGGUGACUCGUGUCAAAAAUAUUCAGAAUAAAUUACAUUUUACUGAUUUUUGAAAACUUUCAAAGGUACCCUCUCCUCUUUCUUUCUCCUUUCUCUCUUCUUACCUCCCUCCCACCCGCUCCUCGUUUUUUCUUUUAAAUAUUAAGUAAACUAUUUGCAUUUUUAUGUCUCAUCAAAGUUGUUCCAGGUUUUUUCUGGGUUUACUAAAACUCCAAAUGGACUACUCAGAUCAAAACAAUUAGUGAAGUCUAAGGUAUUCUUAAUUCCUGAAAUGAAAACAGAAUGGAUGUUCAGGACGUUCUGUUUUGCUCUGGCUACCCGCUUGGCUUCUCGCUCAGAAUAUUCUUGCUCUCAAGUUAGUUCCAGUUCUGUUUAUUUUGUCCUGAGCUCAGUGAACUUUCCAAAGCCCUACUCUUCAAACAACACUUUUUUCCCCCGCCCUGUGAGCUGGAGUUUAUUUUGUGCUCACCCUUCAUUCUGUGGGUUGUGAAUAAUUAUAACACAAAGAAAAAAAAUCUCCUCCUGACCACGGAGAGAAGGGGGAGUUUUAGAAUAAAGAUAAAAAUUGCUGUUUUAGCCCCCAAAGCAAAGGACUUAGGAAAGAAGAGAAAAGGGGGGAAAAAUAGAACAGCAAAGGAAAAAAAAAA
rnacentral:lncRNA from 1 species